CACGCCUGCAAACACAAAACAGCAAACGGCGUUAGGAAGGCGAUGAUACGAGCUGCGCUGCGCAGCUCACGUGAGCGCCACACGUGAGGCGCCGCCGCGGUGUCGCCGUCCUCUUCCGCAUUAUGAAAACCGCCUGGGUGGGAAGAGAGAUUGAGAAGAGAUAGAAGGCUCCCAAGUCGCCCCUGUACGCUAGACGCGGCGUCGGUUGACGUUAUCGCCAUGCCUGGCCAGGCGACACACGACCACGCCACUCCGCCUGACGCCGCGGCGUCGAGCCGAGCAGGGUGAAGUCAUGUCGGCAAACAGCGGGCAGGGUGGAUUUACUCUUGUGAUCCGCGUGUGUACUUCAAGGCUCUGCGCACUAUACACAUUUUAGAGACAUCA